rnacentral:tRNA from 1 species
UUGUAGCGGGUAUAGUUUAGUGGUAAAAGUGUGAUU